rnacentral:misc_RNA from 1 species
GGACAACAGAGAUGACAUCAAUGCCAAAUGGCCUAAGUUCCAGUCUCAAGGUAUCAGUAAAUGAAUGUACAGCAGCUUUGGAUGCACUAUAAGCACUAGACCAUGGACCUGGAGAUAAAGCACUGCAACUUCCAACGUUGACAAUUUUCCCUUGUUUCCUGGAAGCCAUGUGCGGAACAACAGAUUGAAUUAACCUUAUGGGACCAAAAACAUUGGUAUUGAAGGUAUGUUGAAUAGCAGAUAAAGGGAGUUCAGCCAGAGGCCCAACACACUGUAUACCAGCGUUAUUAACAAGAACAUCAAUUCGCCCAAAUUUGUCAACAACUUUUGUGAGUACCUUCGUCACAUUUUGUUCAGAUAAAACAUCAAGUUCUUGAAGAAAGAAUCGUGGAUCAUUUUGGAAAUCUGACAUGGAUUUAAGCGAUCGAGCUGUAGCUACAACAAGGCAAUCCUUAGCAGCAAAAGCUCGAGCUAGCUCAUGGCCUAUGCCGCCAUUUGAGCAGCCAGUUAUCAGAACUACUUCUCUGUUUUCUUCCAUGAAAAAGAGAGGUUUG